AAGACGAGCGUUAGGAACUAUGAGAGCACUUACACUUACUGAUGACCGAUAGAAGCUGCUAGAAGCCCAAUCCGUCACGAAAAGUCCAGACCCUGUCUUGUAAGUCGCCACGACGAUUAACAUAUAAACCGAAGAAAAGGCUACGCCGCGCUGCUACACACAAUGGACGCAUCAAAACUCAAUCAAUUGAAGCAUUUCAUCGAACAGUGCAAGUCUAACCCUUCCAUACUUGCCGAUCCCUCACUCUCAUUCUUCCGCGAGUACCUCGAAAGUCUCGGCGCCAAGCUUCCCGAAUCUGCUUACUCUAAAUCGAGACACGUGGAGAGCGAUGAGGACAUAGAGGAUGUUGCGGACGAACAAGAGAAGGUGGAGGAAGCAGAGGAAGAUGAAAUAAUUGAAUCUGAUGUUGAGCUCGAGGGUGAAACCUGUGAGCCCGAUGAUGAUCCUCCGCAGAAGAUGGGAGACCCCUCUGUCGAGGUCACUGAUGAAAAUCGUGAGGCUUCGCAGAUGGCCAAAGUUAAAGCCAUGGAAGCGAUUUCUGAAGGUAAGUUAGAGGAGGCGAUUGAGAACUUAACAGCGGCAAUUUUACUCAAUCCUACCUCUGCCAUAAUGUAUGCGACUAGAGCCAGCGUUUACAUCAAAAUGAAGAAACCCAAUGCUGCAAUCCGUGAUGCAAAUGCUGCUUUGGAGAUUAAUCCUGAUUCUGCUAAAGGAUACAAGUCACGUGGCAUGGCACGAGCAAUGCUUGGUCAAUGGGAAGAGGCUGCAAAGGAUCUUCAUGUGGCUUCAAAGUUAGACUAUGAUGAGGAAAUAAAUGCUGUACUAAAAAAGGUGGAGCCAAAUGCUCACAAGAUUGAGGAACAUCGUCGGAAGUAUGAAAGGCUGCACAAGGAAAGAGAGGAUAAAAAAAAGGAGCAAGAGAGGCAACGUCGACGUGCUGAAGCUCAGGCUGCGUAUGAGCAGGCUAAGAAGCAAGAGCAAUCAUCUUCCAGUAGAAAUCCUGGAGGCAUGCCUGGUGGGUUUCCUGGUGCUGGUGGCAUGCCUGGAGGCUUCCCAGGGGGCAUGCCUGGAGGAUUCCCAGGGGGCAUGCCUGGAGGAUUCCCAGGUGGCAUGCCUGGAGGGGUGCCUGGAAAUGUUGAUUUUAGCAAAAUCUUAAAUGAUCCUGAUCUGAUGACAGCAUUUAGUGAUCCAGAGGUCAUGGCUGCUCUUCAGGAUGUUAUGAAGAACCCUGCAAAUUUGGCAAAGCAUCAAGCAAAUCCUAAGGUGGCUCCUGUAAUUGCAAAAAUGAUGAGCAAAUUUGGAGGUCCCAAGUGAACACUUUUCGAUGCUUAUUGGAGAUUUCAGCAUUCCAGGCCGCUGCCCUCGGGAAAAAUAAAAGUAUAGUUUCUUAGCUUUGUUCCCACUGAUAUUGAUGUAGAGCUGACUUUUCCACACCAUAAUUAUCAACCCGCACGGGGGUGGCCACUUCCAUUAUGCUAGAUGGGAUAGCUGCUAUUCUGAAAAUUAUUGACGUAGAUAAAUGAUGAAAAUAAAUUAUUGUAAGAAAACAUCUAUUUGUUCUAGGAGGAAAUAGUUCUCAAAUUCCUACCCUUUAUUUUAUUUUGAUUUGACGGUUUAGAUUAAAUUUCAGUUAACGAUUAUCAUGUGGCACUUCUUUCGCUAAAGCUCAGCGUGAAGUUGCGACUCCAUACCUACCACUGUCAACAUGCGAUUGUUCCCCAUUAAGUUCAAGUAGCAAUCUUUGAGAACAUUCCUAAACUAUGUUGGUUAAUGAUUAUGAAUAAUGCAAUCGUUCUAACAACAAUAAUAAAGUUUUCGACACAUUUUG